CGCGGGUGGGGCGGGCUCGUUACCCAGGAGGCUCUGCGGUGCCGGCCGACCCCGGAAGCAUGUCUGUUGGGAGCGGAGGCGCAGUUGCGGUGCUGAGAGCGCUUGCCUGUGCUCCCGGAGCGGGGCUGGGACUCUUCCGAGAUGCCCAGGUUCGCACAGAGACCUCGGAUCGUGGAAGCUCGCGUCUCAAAAGGCCUGUGGGUCAAGGGGGUCCAUCUCGGGGGUGGUUCUUGCGUUUGUAACGUCUUGACAUCGCUGAUCGACCACAGCUGUGCAGGAGGGGCAGUAGGUAUCUGCUGCUACAGUUACCGGAACCUUUGCCAGGACUAGUACAGGACCACGGGCUGGCAGCUCCCGGAUGUCUCCUCUGUGAGUUACAACUGCAGGCUCCCAGUAAAGAAGGAAUUUCCUCUUCUACAGAGCUGGUUUCUCAUUGGUGCUGCUCGCCCAUUCCCUGAGCUGUGACUGCCCGAGGAGUGGGAGGUGGGUGGUGCCUCCAGCCAAUCAGGGGCAGACCCCGGGGCUGCCUGGGAACAGGACUAUGGCACAAACCGAAUGAGUGCUGGGAGCAACCCGCAGUGCUCUGCCGCAUCCAUGUCUUCCUUCACUGACAUGAAAUGCAGAAAAGGCAGCUUUGCCAUAGCACAGCAGAAUGCACAGAACAUGGCCGCCCAAGGCUCUGUCCUUGACCCCGUUGUCCAGAAGCCAUUUACCAAGGGCUCACAGGCACUGAGUGCCCCGUGCACAUAGCCAGACAGUGCACUCAUGCAGGGGAAAGGACAGUGAAGGAGAGUUGGUCCCUGGCCUCCAAAGUCAUAGGGCAUAGUGGCUGUCAUCAGGCAGUGACGAGGGCCAGGAGGGGGACCUCUUAAGGGGCCAUGCAGUUAUGGAAGCCAAAAAGAAAGAAGGCCUGCAGUGAGGAUGGAGUGGUCGGCCUGAAGCCAUCUCUAGCAAGUGGCCAGAAAGACCAGGGGAGAAGUGUGCAUCACCCUUGGGGUUAAGGGAUAGUUGUCUAUUGGAUGUUGCUUCCUGGAGAUGCCUGAAAAGCCAGUUCAGCCCGCAGGGACCAGGCCACCACCCACCUGAUGUGAGCAUUUCCUCCAGUCCCUGCUGGGUGCUGAAUCUGGCGGACAGGGAAGCUGAGGGUGCUGUUCUGAGUGGUGGAUGAACUGAGCCACAGGGCCCUGCUGGACGUAAGAACACUGGAGGCCAGGGGAAAACGGGGCUGAGGUCAGCCCUCAGCCGAAUGGAGUAGGGACUCAGAGUGGGUCAGGGAACUGGCAAGUGGGCACUGUGCACACAGCCCUUGAGGGGAGCCAGGGUGGGGAUCCCCCACCACGUGCGGAAGGCAGCUGCCUGCUCAGCUGCAUCCCACAGCCAGGUGUCGCCGCAGCCUUGGUUGGAAGCAGGACGUGCCCCUCCAUGCGCUCGCUCGCUAUCAGAAAAUGACUCCAAAAACUGAAGUGUUUAGAGUUUCAUUCACACAAAACAUGGACGUCAUCUGUGACGCUCUGUCCCAGAGAGACAGGGAGGGCCUUCCCUCAUGCCUGUUACUGCGAUGUAGAUAAACAAAAGAACAAAUCAAACAAACUGCAAA